AAAAUAAAUGAAAUAGAGGAGUUUAUUGAAUCCGUUCGACCAAAUCAGUGUCAUGUAUAAAGACACUGUAUUUAAACAACGUUUAUGGAUGGCUACAGGUGUUAAAUUUCAAAUAACAGCAGAGGAAGUGUAGAAAAAAUGGAAGGUACAAAGGGAUAGAUAGCCUAUAUGAGAGGAAAAAAUUAAUAAAAUUAGUACUGUUGGUGGCAGUGGUGUUUUCUAUUCGGCCAGAAUUUUUACGUAUGUGUGUUCUGGCAUAAAAGCGUAAAA